AAAGAAAGAAGGAUGGUUGCGCAAAAGCAAAACCCAUUCACCCGAAGUCCGUCCAUUUUCCGGCGAUCCUUCAUCUUCAAAUUCCGGCGUUCCUUCAGCUUCUCCCACCGCCAGCCAUCAUCACCCAAGUUUCCCGUUGCCGGUGACCGUUCGUCUCCCCUCAACCGCGACCGUUCGACUUCCCGGCGAGAUUUCGCCAUUUUCCGGCGACAUCUGGACACCCUAGUGGCCGAUCCAUGCUCCCUUAGCUCAGAUUUACAUUCUCCAAGCUCCGUUGACGCUAGAUCUGGCCGGAAUCGCCGUUCCCGCUGCCAUGACUCUUCACCUUCCCGGUGUGACUUCGCUCGCUUUUCGGUGCCAUUUCGUCUCCCAAGCCACAUAUUUGGACUCCCCGUGAUCAGAUCUAUCUUCCACCAAGUUUUGGAGUAAUUAUGUCACCGGUCGCCGGCAGCUUCCAGCGUCUUUUGGUCUUCUUUGCAAUGGCUGCUGCUAUGCUUUCUCAGCCCAAGCCAUCUCUCUCACUCGCAACUCCUCAAAAACUUCAUUUUCCCACCUCAUUUCCACCUUAAGAGAAGUGGGGGAGAUUAUAAUUGAGUGUAGGAAAGAUUUAUGUGGGAUAUUGAAGCACAUUUUUUACAUGUACACCCUGCUAGCUAGUUGGUACGUUCAUCACCAUUGUUGGCCUAAAAAUAUGAGAAUAGCUUUAACUCAUAUAGCUCACACUGUUGGUAGUGGUAUAUUUUUAAGUUUGGACUUUUGCGCAUAAAGCAGCUUCUAUUGAUCUUCAGAUGGCAUACUGUGAGCUGAAUGAAAUGAAGGGUCUUUGCAAAUGCAGUACAUAUACUUUAUUUCAGCAGUUGUAAAAGUUGUCAUGGCUUUUCCAAACUAAUUUCAGGUAAUUUCUUUUCCAUUGUCUCGUCACUUUUAGGAGUUGUUGGUAUGAUAUGAUUUAGAGAUAAGUUUUGUUGAUUCUGCAUUCUUAUUGAUACUUUCAUGCUUCCUAGAACAUAUGAUUAAGAAAAAUGGGAGGGAAAACUUCGAUAACACUUCAUUUUGAAGAAAUAUUGUUAAAUCAUUUAAACUUGUCUGGUGGAAAUUUUUAGGAUUGGUCAUUCUGAAGUUAGAGAUUUAAAUAUGUUCUUUUCCUCCUUGUUUUCCAUUAAAUAUUUGGGUUGCUUUUGUUUUCAUUUUUCCUUGAAUUUGCAAUAUAUGUAAUGUCAUCCUUGAGCAUACACAUGGGAAUUGAAGAUGAUUUUGCUUUGAUGGUUUUAGAGGUUGUAAAAAUUGAAGACUUUUUUGGUAAAAAUGGUAGCACAUGGGAAUUGAAGAUGAUAUAUGUGGUUUUUGUUUAUAGAUUUUUUGAAUGAUUGGAAAGUAUUAACUAUUGUUCAUAGUUAAGUUUCCAAUCAUCUAGGUAUUAUAUAUGAUGUAAAGAAUGAUGGGUGUCUUUUUGUUAGACAUAUAUGAAGCUUUUUGUGUAUGAAGGUUUAUCAAUGAAA